GAUGAACGCUAGCUACAGGCUUAACACAUGCAAGUCGAGGGGCAGCAUGGUCUUAGCUUGCUAAGGCCGAUGGCGACCGGCGCACGGGUGAGUAACACGUAUCCAACCUGCCGUCUACUCUUGGACAGCCUUCUGAAAGGAAGAUUAAUACAAGAUGGCAUCAUGAGUCCGCAUGUUCACAUGAUUAAAGGUAUUCCGGUAGACGAUGGGGAUGCGUUCCAUUAGAUAGUAGGCGGGGUAACGGCCCACCUAGUCUUCGAUGGAUGGGGGUUCUGAGAGGAAGGUCCCCCACAUUGGAACUGAGACACGGUCCAAACUCCUACGGGAGGCAGCAGUGAGGAAUAUUGGUCAAUGGGCGAGAGCCUGAACCAGCCAAGUAGCGUGAAGGAUGACUGCCCUAUGGGUUGUAAACUUCUUUUAUAAAGGAAUAAAGUCGGGUAUGGAUACCCGUUUGCAUGUACUUUAUGAAUAAGGAUCGGCUAACUCCGUGCCAGCAGCCGCGGUAAUACGGAGGAUCCGAGCGUUAUCCGGAUUUAUUGGGUUUAAAGGGAGCGUAGAUGGAUAUUUAAGUCAGUUGUGAAAGUUUGCGGCUCAACCGUAAAAUUGCAGUUGAUACUGGAUAUCUUGAGUGCAGUUGAGGCAGGCGGAAUUCGUGGUGUAGCGGUGAAAUGCUUAGAUAUCACGAAGAACUCCGAUUGCGAAGGCAGCCUGCUAAGCUGCAACUGACAUUGAGGCUCGAAAGUGUGGGUAUCAAACAGGAUUAGAUACCCUGGUAGUCCACACGGUAAACGAUGAAUACUCGCUGUUUGCGAUAUACUGCAAGCGGCCAAGCGAAAGCGUUAAGUAUUCCACCUGGGGAGUACGCCGGCAACGGUGAAACUCAAAGGAAUUGACGGGGGCCCGCACAAGCGGAGGAACAUGUGGUUUAAUUCGAUGAUACGCGAGGAACCUUACCCGGGCUUAAAUUGCAGAUGAAUUACGGUGAAAGCCGUAAGCCGCAAGGCAUCUGUGAAGGUGCUGCAUGGUUGUCGUCAGCUCGUGCCGUGAGGUGUCGGCUUAAGUGCCAUAACGAGCGCAACCCUUGUUGUCAGUUACUAACAGGUUCCGCUGAGGACUCUGACAAGACUGCCAUCGUAAGAUGUGAGGAAGGUGGGGAUGACGUCAAAUCAGCACGGCCCUUACGUCCGGGGCUACACACGUGUUACAAUGGGGGGUACAGAGGGCCGCUACCACGCGAGUGGAUGCCAAUCCCCAAAACCUCUCUCAGUUCGGACUGGAGUCUGCAACCCGACUCCACGAAGCUGGAUUCGCUAGUAAUCGCGCAUCAGCCACGGCGCGGUGAAUACGUUCCCGGGCCUUGUACACACCGCCCGUCAAGCCAUGGGAGCCGGGGGUACCUGAAGUGCGUAACCGCGAGGAGCGCCCUAGGGUA
rnacentral:rRNA from 1 species